CUGUGACUGUGACACGAGGGAAAGAAGGAAGGAAAAGCUUCCACCUCGGGACAGUCGUUUGGGGGAAGCCCGAGUUCCUUAGCUGGACAUUUUGGUCACCCUGGGAAGGUGCCACGGGGAGGCUGCGACUCAACGCUGACCUGUGCGACCCCCUCUGCAUUCAGGAAGCAAAGAGCAGCAAAAGCUGAGGUGCCUCAGGCCUGCACCCCUCAAUUUUCAGCCCCUGAUGAGUGCAAAUUAGCUCAGACCUUCCCAGGACAGGAGAAGGGCCCACACACAGCAGCGGGAUCAGGAUCAGAAGAGGCUUUCACACACAUCCAGCUCACCUGCAUCUUCCUUUGGGUGGCUUAGCUGGAGCCGAGGAUCUGAACGAGGUGCUCUGCACUUCAAACACUCCUUAGAUCUAAACCAUUAUUUAUUUGAAUGAAUA